GCGCGAUUAGCUCAGUUGGUAGAGCAGAUCAUUUACACUGAUAAGGUCGGGGGUUCGAGUCCCUCAUCGCGCA
rnacentral:tRNA from 1 species